rnacentral:rRNA from 1 species
AUUGAACACUGGCGGCAGGCCUAAAACAUGCAAGUCGAACGAGUGGCGGACGGGUGAGUAAUGUCUGGGAAACUGCAUGAUGGCGGGGGAUAACUACAGGAAACGGUAGCUAAUACCGAAUACCAUCGUAUGUGCCCAGAUGGGAUUAGCUAGUAGGUGGGGUAAAGGCUCACCUGGUCGACGAUCCAUAGCUGGUCUGCGAGGAUGACCAGCCACACGGGAACUGAGACACGGGCCAGACUCCGACGGGAGGCAGCAGUGGGGAAUAUUGCACAAUGGGCGCAAGCCUGAUGCAGCCAUGCCGCGUGUAUGAAGAGGGCCUGCGGGUUGUAAAGUACGUUCAGCGGGGAGGCGUUACCCGCAGAAGAAGCACCGGCUAACUCCGUGCCAGCAGCCGCGGUAAUUC